CAAAUACAUCAAGAAGCGGAAGAUGGUCUCCAAUGCACACCACCAUGGACAUUAUGUCCAUAGAGUUACUGGUCAGCAGAAAAAAGUGCAAGGGAUUACCAUACAGUAGGACCUUGAAGCAAUGAAUCUGGUAUCCGGCAGGACCUUAAAAAUCAGGAUCUGGUGCAUCUCUGUUCAUUAUCUAUUUGCUACUUUUUUGUUGUGCUAUUUCAUGUAUAUAUUUUUUUCUGUUCUAUGCUAAUUGACAUAAAAGAUUGAGCAUGAGAAAACAGAGCUUGGGAAUAUUAGGCAAAAGGGGGCAUCGGUAUACUAAAACCUGCUUUGUACUCUGUAGCUGUGCUGUAAAUCUGUAUGCAGAUACAAUGUGUUUUUGUACACUUGUGUGUAGCGUGUGUACUGUACGUAACUGACAAGCUUUUUUUAUUAGUAAUUACUCAUGUGUUACAAAUGAUAGUAUUUAUGUUGGUAGUAUUUUUUUCACAUUGUGGUCAUUUUUUUAGAAUUUGACUUGCUUUCAUCAUUAGUGCUAUAUAACAAGCACUCAGCAGUAUGGUUUGUUGGUUUGUGAAGUCCUGAACAUUAAAAAAGGCUGAAAUGUCACGUUUA